AUUGAACGCUGGCGGCAUGCCUUACACAUGCAAGUCGAACGGCAGCACGGGAGCAAUCCUGGUGGCGAGUGGCGAACGGGUGAGUAAUGUAUCGGAACGUACCUUUCAGUGGGGGAUAACGUAGCGAAAGUUACGCUAAUACCGCAUAUUCUGUGAGCAGGAAAGCAGGGGAUCGCAAGACCUUGCGCUGAUUGAGCGGCCGAUAUCAGAUUAGCUAGUUGGUGAGGUAAAGGCUCACCAAGGCGACGAUCUGUAGCGGGUCUGAGAGGAUGAUCCGCCACACUGGAACUGAGACACGGUCCAGACUCCUACGGGAGGCAGCAGUGGGGAAGUUUU
rnacentral:rRNA from 1 species